GUUUACUUUUCGAAGUUGGCUUAACUAACGCAGCUGAGUCUCGAAGCUUUCGUGUGCCGUUAUGCAUAACGCAAUGUCAUUGAAUAGAUGCUGUGAGUAUUUGUGGAGCCUCUAGAAAGUCCUGCAUCGAUGCGUGUGUGUCUUUGUAUACGCGCCAUCUCUGGAGUGUGUGCAAAGUUCUUGGCCUCGGUCCAAAAUUUGCCCAAGCUACCAGCUGGACUAAACCGGAACUUCCCUGUCCGUCAUAAGUAAAGUGUCCAGAAGAGCCCCGCAAGAAGAUGGUGUGAGGAUGAACUCGGAAGGUUUAGAUGCCCUGUUAUGAUGAAUAUAACAUCAAU